UCCUAACGAAAUUUGCACAUACGGCUCCCUCCGUGCUCCACCUUGCAAAUAUAACAGGUAUGGCAAUGUUUAUUCUGCUUUCCCAAGUCCCAACAGAAAUAAAAAGACACAUUUUUCAAUAAAACAUCCCAAGAUGAUGAAACUUAUGAUUAACAACGAUGAAGCCCAAGCACUCAUCCGUCAUCAAUCCAUAAAACCAUAAUUUACCAUAAAACCAUAAUUUACAGUUCUAAAGUUAAAAAUAAUCAUUUCAAAAGUUGCAACACAACCAAAAAAAGCCAGUUAAUACUUCCACAGAAUCCAUCACUCAGAUCCCCUUUGACAAAAUAUUCAAAACACCAGCUGAUUGUUUUCAAUUUCAGAAAGUGGCACAUCACUCACCACUAACAUCCCAUUUUUUUUUCUCACCGCAAAAUCAACAUAAAACAAAAAUCUCAAACCCUUGAAAAACCCAGGAAAAAAAGGCGAUCGGUGAAUAAGUAAAUAACGCAGCAGCCCCCGUGCAGAGAAGAAGAGAAACCAGGUUGCGAAGAGGAAGUUCAGAUUCUUGGAGUCGAAGAGGGAGAAGGUGUGUUGGGGUUGCGGCGGAUACGACGGAGGAGGAGUGGUGGCGGGGAAUCUGGUUCUGCAUUUUUUUUUAUUUCUCCUUUUUGCAUUUUCUUUUUGGUGAGUUCUCCUUUUUUUUUUUUUUGAAUUCUCUAGUCCCAGCGAAGGAUCCCCCUCCCCAACCCACUCUCUCACUCUGAAAGUCUGAAACGGGCUAAAGGGGAGAACGUGGCGCCUCAACCUUCUCCCUCUCACCGCACGGUCGCCGGCUCGUCUGCGUCCGCCAGCUCCUGCGCCUUCACUGUUGUCACGUCGUCUGUACCUCCGUCCGCAUCUGUCGCCUCCGUUCGCGUCACGUCGACCCUGCGCAUUCACUGCGUCACCUUGCCGGUCUGUGCUUCGAGGUGGCUCGCUUCUCUCCCUGCGGUCAAGGCGUCAACCUUCCUGAUGUUAUGUGAUAGUGUGAUACCAUGUGGCCAAAUUCUACAAGAAAGCCUGUGACAUAUUCGACUCUGAGUAUAGUCUAUGUAUAUUUGGGACUUUUCAGGGCAAACAAACCAGUUAUUCAUCAAUGACAAAGUGACAAAUGAUUCUCUUUGUCAACUUGGAAAGGAGCCUCGUAGUUUGUAGCUUCCUCUUUGAAGAAGGGCAUGUUUCAGCACGAUUUCAAGAAACGAGGCUCCAUGAUCAGGACCUUAUGUGUUGAUUCCAGGCACAAGGAAGCCUUGUCCCUUUUCCAUCAAUACAUAAAGGGUUAUGCAGAUUUUAAACCCGAUCACAGUGUUGUUGCUUCGAUUCUCAAGUCUUGUUCUGCCCUAUUGGCUCUCAAAUUGGGCAGCCUCCUUGAAAGAGAGAUGUCCUGGACCACUAGACGAUGGGGGCCCACUUUCCCGACCGCCGUUAUGCUAUGUUCUUAGUAUAAACAGCUCUCCAUGGCUAUGUUGUUAAGCAGGGCCAUGGUGCUUGCCAGGUUACUAACAAAGCGUUGCUUAACAUGUAUGCAAAAUGUGGCAAGCUUGUUGAAUGUAAGAAGAUGUUUUAUCAGCUCAGCCACCGUGAUUCUGUCAUUUGGAACAUUGUUCUAUCUGGGUUUUCAGGGUCCAUGAAGUACAAUUCGGUUCUGAUGAGGAUGUUUCAGACAAUGCACUCCAAUGGGGAGGCUAAGCCCAAUGCAGUUACUGUUGCCAUUGUCCUUCCUGUUUGUGCUCGUUUAGGGGAUGUCGACGCUGGAAGGAGUGUGCAUGCUUACGUGAUCAAGUCUGGUUUUGAGGCGGACACUGUUGCUGGGAAUGCUCUUAUGUCAAUGUAUGCAAAGUGUGGACUGGUAUCUCAUGAUGCAUAUGCUGUUUUUGACAACAUUGGUCACAAAGAUGUUGUUUCGUGGAAUGCAAUGAUUGCAGGUCUUGCUGAGAAUCUCUUGUUUGAAGAUGCAUUUACAUUGUUCAGUUCAAUGGUGAAAGGGCCAACACAACCAAAUUAUGCCACUACAGCAAAUAUUCUGCCUGUUUGUGCGUUGCUUGGUGAGAACGUUGCAUACCAGUAUGGAAGGCAAAUCCACUCUUAUGUGCUGCAACGGGCUGAACUGUCGGCUGAUGUUUCUGUGUCCAAUGCUUUGAUUAGCUUCUACAUAAGAGUUGGUCGGAUGAUGGAAGCGGAAUCUUUAUUUUGGGCAAUGGAUGCAAGGGACUUGGUCUCUUGGAAUGCUAUUAUUGCAGGAUUCACAUCAAAUGGUCAAUGGUUUAAAGCGUUGAAUCUAUUGAGUAAUUUAGUAUCUCGAGAGAUGCUAUUGCCUGAUUCUGUGACUAUUGUUAGCAUACUUCCACUUUGUGCUCAAUUCAGAAACUUGCAGGUAGGGAAACAGAUCCAUGCAUAUAUCUUUAGACACCAUUAUCUUUUUGAAGAUACUACUGUUGGGAAUGCUUUAGUUAGUUUCUAUGCAAAAUGUGGCAAUACAGAGAAAGCAUAUCAUACUUUCAAUAUGAUACCUAGGAAAGAUUUGAUUUCAUGGAAUUCUAUUCUUGAUGCCUUUGGAGAGAAGAGGCAUCAUUCAAGAUUUCUCAGCUUGUUACAUACAAUGCUUAAACUUGGAAUUAGACCUGACUCAGUUACAGUAUUGGCUACCAUCCAUUUUUGUGCUUCUCUCUUGAGAGUAGAAAAGGUUAAAGAAAUACACACCUAUUCAAUUAAGGCUGGAUUUCUAGUUAGUGACACUGCUCCUGCAGUUGGAAAUGCAAUACUUGAUGCAUAUGCUAAAUGUGGUAACAUGGACUAUGCUAAUAGAAUGUUUCAGAAUCUAUCAGAGAAAAGGAAUCUGGUCUCGUGCAAUUCGAUGAUUUCAGGUUAUGUGGGUUUAGGAUCACAUCGUGAUGCAAAUAUGAUUUUUAGUGGGAUGUCUGAGACAGAUCUUACCACCUGGAAUCUUAUGGUUCGAGUAUAUGCCGAAAAUGAUUGUCGGGAUCAAGCUCUCAUACUGUUCUACAAGUUACAAGCUCGAAGGAUGAAGCCUGAUGAGGUGACUAUCAUGAGCAUCCUUCCGGUAUGCACACAAAUGGCAUCGGCACACUUGCUAACACAAUGUCACGGCUAUGUCAUUCGUUCUUGUCUUGAGGAUCUUCACCUAAAAGGAGCCCUCUUAGAUGCAUAUGCAAAAUGUGGUAUCAUAGGCUGUGCGAGUAAGCUAUUUCGCGCAAGUGCUACUAAGGACUUGGUUAUGUUUACUGCUAUGAUUGGUGGGUAUGCCAUGCAUGGUAUGAGUGAAGAAGCACUUGGAAUUUUUUCUGAUAUGCUUAAAAUGGGAAUCAAGCCAGAUCAUGUUAUCUUCACUUCUGUAUUAUCAGCUUGCAGUCAUGCUGGCCGUGUAAACGAAGGUCUGAAGAUAUUUUAUUCAAUGGAGAAAAUCCAUGGUAUGCAGCCAAAUGCAGAACAGUAUGCUUGCGUGGUGGAUCUCCUUGCUCGAGGUGGCCGAGUUAGGGAAGCAUAUUCUCUCGUCACCAAGAUGCCAAUUGAAGCUAAUGCCAGUCUUUGGGGGUCAUUGCUUGGUGCCUGCAAAAUCCAUCAUGAAGUUGAAUUGGGGCGCAUUGUAGCCAGCCAUCUGUUCAAAAUCAAAGCUGAUGACAUUGGAAACUACAUUGUUUUAUCGAAUUUGUAUGCAGCAGAUGCUAGAUGGGAUGGGGUCAUGGAGGUUAGAAAGAUGAUGAAGAAUAAAGAUUUGAAAAAGCCAGAAGGAUGCAGUUGGAUUGAAGUUGAGAGGAAACAUAACAUAUUUGUGGCUGGGGAUUGUUCCCACCCACAUAGAAGCAUUAUUUACAAUACUCUAUCUACAUUGGAUCAACAAAUUAAAGAUAUAUGUAAUUAAGUACCAUAAAACUGUCGGCACUCAAAUAAUCACAUAUUCACACCAAGAAAAAGUAGUAGUAUGAUAAAUAUACAAUUUACAUAGAGCAAAGGUUCUUUCAUCUUCUAGGCGACCUAUAUUCACUAGCAAGAGUGAAGUUCUAAUCUCAGCUUGCUACCUUGGCCUAAGCCAGCAGUUUGGCCUUCAUCAGUUCCUACAGAUGCCUCAGCACAGGUGCUUGAGAAAGAAAAG